GCACGGACGGUGGUGGAGAGCGUGGAGCGGCUGCUGCAGAGCUGCCCCCGGGGCGGCGAGGCCGAGCUGCGGGCGCUGAUGAAGCUCAACAAGAAGCUGGCCAAGGCUGUGGGGCACAUCUUCCAGCUGGAGGACGGUGACCGGCAGAAGGAGGAGGAGAUCCGUCGGCACAGCGCGAUCUACGGCCGCGGCGAGGCCCGGCGCCGGGAGGGCAAGCAGCUCACCCUGCACGAGGUGGGCUCUGCUUGAAGUUCUGGGAUGUGCUGGGUUGGGACAGGGACCGGGGCAGCUCUGGAGGUGGGGGUGGGUGGGAUUCGAGGUCUGCUCCUACUCGGGUGGCAUCUGCCAGCCUGGAGCUGGUGCUGCCUUAGCCGAGGGUCGUGUGGGCGCUGCUGUCCCGUGGGCGCUGCCGUCCCUGUCCCCGCUCACACAUCAUCUCUGCCCCCAGCUCAUCAUCAACGAGGCGGCCGCCCAGUUCUGCCUUCGGGACAACUCGCUGCUGCUGCGGCGCGUCGAGCUCUUCUCGCUGUCACGACAGGUCGCACGGGAGAGCACCUACCUGUCCUCGCUCAAGGUUGCCAGGGCCCAUCCCGAGGACAGCGGUGCCAUCGUGGCCAAGCGGCUCAAGCAGGAGGCGGGGGAGCAGAGCCGCCCUGAGCUCCUGGCACUGCCGGUGGGGCUGGAGCCCCCCGGGGC
rnacentral:lncRNA from 1 species